AACCUUUAGCUUUCUGCCCCUUGGAAAACGGAAGCAUUUAGACAUCCGUAUUAAUAUUUGGAUCUAGAGUGUUCGUGUUUUAGCACUUCCUUUUUUGAAAGGAGAAGCAGACGUGUUGUGUUUUUAGGAACACUUCCAAGAAGUUUCUCCUCCUCUAUGAUGAAACCAACACAAGAAAGCCAAAAGGGCGUUUAACCCCUUGAAGCACUGAGAGUUUCCCUGCUGAUAUUCUUAGACUGUUCUUUUUCUAAAACGAGAAAGAGGUGGCUCACCAGGAGAAAGGCAUAGCAGAACCUGGACUGAGACCUACGGGAGACAGAUGCUGCCAUGGGGUUGUAGCCCCACAACUUGCCAGUCUGUAUGCUUCCCUAGAGGUUUGAGCAGCGGAGUACUAAAGAAGCAAGCCACACCCCCACUCCACCUCCUGUGAGGGGGACAAGGAAACUUUUCCCAUUUCAACUGGUGGCUCGUCUGGGAUCUCGGAA
rnacentral:lncRNA from 10 species